AAGGCAGAGGCUUGCAAAACAGGGGGAGGCCCUGCACCCCCACCUCUGACAAAUGCUGAGGAGAUGGCCCUGAGUCUGAACAGUGGAAGGCCGGUGGCUGAGGGAAUUCCUGCAGGGAGUUCAUCAGAGCCAGUCACUCCCCAGGACACAAGUGCCUUCAUAAAAUAUAAGAGGCCUCCCCCCACCCACCCACACACACAUUAUAUAUAUUUUCACUUCAAAUGUGCAAAAUGCCAGCCUCAAGCCACUCAGAAGCACCAGUACUUGGAUAAAUAUAUAUAUAAUAUUUUAACAUUGCAUUGGGUUUUGCAUUGGUCUCAACAGAUUCUGAUGGCAACAUCUUCCUUUUAGACUCUCCUGUCACAACUGAACCCCAGGCAGUUGAUGUAGAGGAUGACACACUGUCUGCUUAUACCGACAGACCUAUAGAGAGUGUGGAGGAACAACCGCCGCAGGAUGAGGAUGAGGACGAGGAGGAGGAAGGUCCAUCAAACUCCUCUGCACGGAUGAACACAGUUCAGUGACGUACAGUAAAUGCCAGAGUGUUAUUCUAUGGUAUUCAUGUUGAAUGAACAGGAUUUAACCCCACACUACUGUAUUUUCAGUUACCAGUUAAGGAGUUAUAUAGACGUCAUCUUAUUAAAGAAAUAGAGAAAACUGAUAAAGAGAUGUCCUACUUAGAUCGACAGAUCCUUAAGUCAGAUCUGGAAAUUGAGAUCCUAAAACACAAGCUACAGGUAUGGUGUGUAUUGUGAUUGGUGAAUUCUAUAAAGGUUUUGGAUGAAUAUUGAAUUCUUACUGUUGCUUUUCAAUUUGUAGGAAAUAAGGAAGACCAAAUACAUUGUGACUUGAAUUUA